UAGGGGUAUAGUUUAAUGGCAAAACAACGGUCUCCAAAACCGUUGAUGUGGGUUCGACUCCUGCUACCCCUGU
rnacentral:tRNA from 1 species